rnacentral:sRNA from 1 species
UUGAAAUCUCCUCCUACUUGUCUUCUCACUACACACAACAAAACAAACGAAUGAGUCAUU